CAGUUUCAACAGUGUCGACGAGUGGCUGGAAGCCAUCAAGAUGGGCCAGUACAAAGAGAAUUUCACCAGCAACGGAUUCUCCACUUUCGACUUGGUUUCCCAGAUGACGAUGGAAGACAUCUUGCGAGUUGGAGUGACGCUGGCCGGACACCAGAAGAAGAUUCUGAACAGCGUCCAGGUGAUGCGGACACAAAUGAGCCAGAUCCAGUCCGUGGAAGUUUGAGAUGUGCUUCUCGCACACACGACCACAGGUUCGGAGGCCCCGCUCCCUCGUUGUCCUGGAGCGCGUCCAAUUUUCCCAUGGGCCUCGGGGCCUCCCCGAACCAGACGGACACGGAGCGUCGAGCGACCACGGACUCUGAGCAAACCGGAGCCACCCUGGAUUUCUUAUUUAGGAGGACACGUCCAAAUCCCGCGUGGGUGGCGUGGGACCUUCUCCUUAAAGGGCUAAAGUCGGGGAAGGGAUGGCAAGCGGCCCGUUCUCGGCCCCUCUUCCACCCCGUCCAUCCUUCGAACGAGCCGUUUCAGCGUCGCCGUCUACACAGGAAGUCUCCGAACGUCCGGAGUGGAGCUAAGGAGGCUUCAUCUCAUCCAGGGUUUGGUGGACGUGAUUUUAGAGCUGGACCGGAGAAGGGGCCAGAGACAGGAGGUUUUACCUACGGACGGGUUUUUUUUGAAACCCUCUUUCCUGCGAAGGACAGAAGGUUUUUUUUUACGAAUUUUGAUGUCCUCUUCAACCCUCUUCCUCCCCACAGUCCCUAAAGGAGCUUCCUACGGUUCAGGUCGGUCCUUGAGCGACACGGGAUCGGGUUUGGAUUUCUCGGCGCUUCCCGGAGCCCGUUCCUCUUUUGCACCCGCAAACGGCAGCUCUGACACACUCGCCAUGUUCACCAGGCCUUCCUCCCUUUGUAGCGUGUUGUAGACUUGUUGUGCUUUUCUGUUGUGCUUGUCCAUGACUUCUCCGUUUGCCAUGGGGGUCCCCAGCAGGUUGGGUCAGGCAGUGUUUUCUUCGGCCUCCUCCGAAUGCAAAUAAUAAUAAUAAUAAUAAUAAUUGUGUUUCUCCUCCCAAGGAGCCAGGCAUUGACACCAACUUGCUUCUAAGUUUGUGUGUGUUUGUGUGUGUGUGUGUUGAGAGAGAGGUCCUAUUUUUUUUCCAUUUGCAUUUGUACGGGUGACCCUGCCCGAUACAGGUACUCCUCGACUUAACGACAAUUCACUCAGUGAUCAUUCAAAGCCGCAAAAACUUAGAAACUAUUGCUCACAUGACCAUCACAGCCUCCCCACAAUCACGGGAUCGAAAUCCACUUGGCAACCGACUCGUAUUUAUGACGGUCGCAAUGCCCCGGAGUCACGUGAUCCCCUCUUACGACCUUCUCCCAGAGCCGAGGGAGGAAACCCGCUUCGAUUAACAAAAGUGCGACGAAUUUAACCACAACGGCGAUCUCCUUAACACCGGUGGGGAGAAACGUCGUCAAGCGGGCCAAACCUCACUUCCCAACCGUCUGGCUUAGCGAUGGAAGGUUUGACCUCGAUUGCGGCCCAUAAGCCGAGGACUACCUGUAGUCGAAGCAGGUCGAAUCCGCAAAGCAAUUAUAAGCGAGCGAGCGAGACGCCGAUAGGAAAGGGAAUGAGCUUCUGUGUCUUUGAAAACUCGGGACGUUGUUCCCCGCAAGUGCAGGACAGG